AUACAUCAGGAACAUUAGGUCAAUUUUAUAUGUAAAAAUAUCCAAAAUUCAAUGAAAAAUUAUAUCCAAAAUAUGUAUAAAUCAUUAUCCACCGAUCUUUUAGGUCACUCCACCAUAUUACAGACUAAGGGAAUAGCUCUGGUAGCAUGGAUGGAGACGAUUACAUACGGACACAUAAAAACACAUCAGCUUCCAUUUCUACAUUUUAAUCAGACAAAGAUG
rnacentral:lncRNA from 1 species